rnacentral:misc_RNA from 1 species
GGAGCUUAUCUAUAAAACGGUCCGUGGCGACCAAGCUAAUAGAAAGGCAGCGAGGUCGUUGAUAUUAAACAGCUUUCUCUCGUUUUAGUCUUUCGCCAAUCAAACCCUUAAAUCUAGGGUUCUCUCGAAUAUACCUCUUUCUUCCUUCCACUCUUUUCUCUCUUUUCAAGCUUGUUUUUUAAUUUCAAAUAUCUGUCUAUUUUUCUAUUCUUUCCAGGCAUCUCUUCCUCAAUCUCAGAUUCUUAGGCACUAGUUUGAGUUUUGCUAUGACGAUCGCUGAUUCGGGGUGUUUGAUGGAGAAUGGGGGCAGUUGCUUGCCGUGCACGCCUGAGGAAGAGAGAAAGAUCGUCAAGGACUUGAUGGAUGAAGCUGAGCUUGAUUUGAAAGAAGGCAACUUGUACUACAUCGUUUCCGCUAGGUGGUUUGCAAGAUGGGAGAGCUACGUUGGCCACAGCAGUGAUGACCACUUGGUUGAUAUGCAGUCUUCUGAUUCUCAAGAUUUGGCUGUUGUUCCUAUGAGUAUACCUGAUAGACCUGGCCAAAUAAAUAACUCUGAUAUAGUUGAAAAUCGAAGUGAUGGUGAGGGUGAUGAUCUAGAGCUUGCAAGAACAUUGUUGGAAGGGAGGGACUAUGUUUUAGUUCCUCAAAAAGUUUGGGAAAAGCUUGUUCAGUGGUACAAGGGAGGACCAGCAUUGCCAAGAAAGAUGAUUUCACAGGGUGUUUUUAACAAAAAGCAGUUCAAUGUGGAGGUUUAUCCUCUUCGUCUCAAGUUAAUUGAUUCCAGAGAUGCGUAUGAAUUCACUAUCAGGUUAAGCAGAAAGGCUUCUCUUCAUGAGCUUUAUGAGAGGGUGUGUGCUCUUAGAGGAACAGAGAGAGAAAAGAUCAUUAUAUGGGACUACUUUAAUAAGCACAAGCAAUCACUGCUGGUUGAUUCAAAUCAUACCCUGGAGGAAUCAAACUUGCAGAUGGACCAAGAGGUGUGGUCUAGAGAUGUAUAUACAUUUUGAAAACUGUUUUGUUUUUGGCAUUAAAUAGCUUGACUGAUGAUGAAUCAUUUUGGUUUUAUAUGACAACAGUUAACACCUUCUUGAAUUCACUUUUAAUAAAGAAUGAAAUACUAAAGUUCUCUUAUGAUCUGAAAUUAAUGCCAUGCACACACACACAUGUAUUUAAGGAUUUAUCUGUGAAUUAGUGAUUGGAUAAGGAUGAACUAAGUAGAAAUUUCUAAGUUUCUUGCUAAACUUAAUGCCUCUCUCUCACACUCACAUUGUUGCUUUUGUGCAUGUAAUAAUUGUAGCAACUUUUAGUUUGAACUUCAGUUUCUCAAUAAGCCAAAUCAUAGAACCUCAAUAACAAUCAGUGCAAAAGUAUAACAGAAAAAAAAGUAAUGAAUGGUUAGGAAAGUGCUUUGAAACUCUGGUGAUGAAUAAAAAUAUUAUUAAAAUACAGUCAUCACAAAAUAGUUUUUAUGCAUGUUGGUUUACAAAUUAGAAUAAUAGAGUGAUUUGUCUAGGUGAAAAAUUAAUGCACUCUUGGAACCCUCCAGCUAAAAGUUAGGUGUGAUGCAAAUUUGCAAAGUAGUCAGAUAUUGGUAGCAGUUCAUGAAAUACUGAAUUUUUGUAUGUUGUUAUUAAUUUCUACAAAUUGUUAUAUUUUAAUAUAAAUUUUCUAUCCUGUGUAUGCAUGCAUAAUGCUGUGUGUAUUUGUAUUUGCAACCCACUGGACUUCCCCCUUGCAUUUGAUAAUGAAAAGAUCUCUGGAUUGUAUGUCCGAUCGUUGGUUAUUCAUCAAUGUAGUUGAUGCAUCCUCUUCUCUGCAUAGAUGCUUCUGGAGCUGCAAGUUCAUGAUUCUUAUCCUUCCCAAUCUUCCAAGGAUUCAACAGGAAAUGAGUUGGCUUUGGUAGCCUUGGAACCUUCAAGGACUUCCCUGUCAAUUGCAGGUGGACCAACAUUGUCAAAUGGUCAUUCCAGUACUUAUAGCUUGAACUUAAGGCCAGGAAGUGCUUUAAAUUCAGGAUUCACAGAUAUUGAUGAUGCAUUUGGUGCUUAUAGUGCUGUCAGAAGAGGUGAGAGGGGAGGUUUGGCAGGAUUGCAGAAUAUGGGAAAUACUUGCUUUAUGAACAGUGCUCUUCAAUGCUUGGUCCACACUCCACCACUUGUUGAGUAUUUUUUGCAAGAUUACUCUGAUGAGAUCAACACAGAAAAUCCUUUAGGAAUGCAUUUAGGUCCUACUCUUAUUUGUCUUCAUUUACUGGGCAUCCAUAUGAAAGUUUUGUACUAGACUAUAGCUUUUAUUAUAAGCACUCAACAUUGAAUUGCUAACUUGUAUUGUAGCUGUGUAGGGUGAACUUGCACUCGCUUUUGGUGAGUUGUUGAGGAAACUUUGGUCCUCAGGACGAAAUGCAAUUGCACCACGUGCAUUUAAGGGAAAACUAGCACUAUUUGCUCCACAAUUCAGUGGUUAUAAUCAGCAUGAUUCUCAAGAACUUCUUGCAUUUUUAUUGGAUGGGCUGCAUGAAGAUUUGAAUCGCGUCAAGCAGAAACCAUACAUUGAAAUGAAGGAUUGGUGUGGUCGUCCAGAUAAGGAGGUUGCAGCUGAGUGUUGGAGAAAUCACAAGGCUCGAAAUGAUUCCAUAAUUGUGGAUGUCUGCCAAGGUCAAUACAAGUCAACGCUGGUUUGCCCAGUUUGCAGCAAAAUUUCAAUUACUUUUGAUCCCUUUAUGUAUUUGUCACUGCCACUACCUUCAACUGUCACUCGUUCAAUGACAGUAAUGGUGUUUUAUGGUAAUGGAAGUGGUCUUCCAAUGCCAUACACUGUGACAGUACUGAAAAACGGUAAUUGUAGAGAUCUUAUUCAGGCACUGAGUACAGCAUGCUGUUUGAGAAGUGAUGAAAGUUUUCUGCUGGCAGAAGUCUAUGAUCAUAGGAUUUAUCAUUUAUUUGAAAAUCCUUUGGAAUCAUUGACUUCUAUAAAGGAUGAAGAAUAUAUUGUGGCCUACCGGCUUUCUCAAAAGGGAACAGGAAAAAAGAAGCUGGAAAUUGUUCAUCAGGAAAAGACUGCAACAGACUUUCUGAAGGGUAGUGGAUGGAAGGAUUUUGGAGCACCUCUGCUUGCUCAAUCGGAAGAUGACUCACCAAGUGGAGCUGAUAUUGAGUUGGUUGCUUCUAGACUUCUCUCACCCUUGAGAAGAACAUGCUCAUCUAGUGUGGUUCAUAGUGGCAAGGAAAAUGGUUUUCUUUCAGAAGCUAAUGGCGAACCAUCAAAUAGUUGCAAUGGUCCAUCUGAAUCAGGGGUCCAGUCAAUGGACAACUGCAACACAUCCACCCAGGACUUGUCAUUCCAUCUCUUUUUAACUGAUGACCAGUAUUCAGGCCGCAAGCCUAUUUUUAAGGAUUCUGUCAUAAAAUCUGGAGCUAAUCGUGUAAAAAUUUUCCUAGAUUGGACUGAUAAGGAACUUAAAUUAUAUGAUCCCAGCUAUCUAAAAGAUCUUCCAGUGGUUUAUCAUAGAACUGGGAUUAAUGCGAAGAAAACCCGGCAGGAAGCUGUCUCUUUAUUUUCAUGCCUAGAGGCAUUCCUGACUGAAGAACCUCUAGGGCCUGAUGACAUGUGGCAAGAUUUUUUUUGUUUCCCCUAUUUCUUUUUUAUACAUUUUGUUGAGAACACUGCUGUGAAUACCUUGCAAGUGAUAUUCCACUUUAGUUAUAUUUAUGCCCAUGAGCAUUACUUGAUGUAGGUAUUGUCCUCGUUGUAAAGAACAUAGACAAGCCACCAAGAAGCUGGAUUUGUGGACCUUGCCUGAUAUUCUUGUUUUUCAUUUGAAACGAUUCUCAUACAGCAGAUACUUGAAGAACAAACUGGAUACUUUUUGUGGAUUUCCUCAUUCACAAUCUUGAUUUGAGCAAAUUUGUAAAACGGAAGGAUGGGCGAUCAUAUAUAUAUGAACUAUAUGCUGUCAGCAACCAUUACGGUGGUCUUGGUGGUGGGCACUACACUGCUUUUGCAAAGUUGAUUGAUGAUAAUAGAUGGUACGAUUUUGAUGAUAGCUGUGUUUCUCCUGUUAAUGAGUCCGAUAUCAGGACUUCAGCUGCUUAUGUGUUGUUCUACCGAAGAGUUCAAACUGAAAUGAAGGUGGGACUGGGAGGGACAUCGCAGGGUCAUGCAGGUUCUUGAAGGCCAUGAAUGUUUGCAUCCUACAAUUCUGCGUCUAGGGACUUCAGACCUUUGUUAACCGAAGACUACUAAGCUGACGGUUCUAGCCUUGUCAGCCAACUUUUUCUGAAGAUCUCAAGCCUUGGCAAAGAUAGCGAUGAAUCUGUAAAUGCAUAAAGUUGCUGCAGGUGGAAUGAAGCAUUAGCUAAUAUUUUAUUAAUUCUUUUCUGAGAAUAUCUGGCUUAAUGUUAGGAGCUUAUAGAUCCCUGCUUAAUUACGCUGGGUUUAACCGUCUUCUUGUUACCUUAUUUGCAUAAUCAUUGGAUGAUAAGGUUUAAAUUUAACAUACUUAUGAUUUCUGUAAACUCCGUUUAGGAUAAUUUGUCGGAAGAGUUGUGCAAUUUACUUGGAGGGAUUUAGAUGGUUUUAGACAAAGGACAGGCAUUUAUCUAACAAUCCUCAACUGUAUCAAUAUAUUUGUUUUUUGUACUUGUUACAUGAGGAGAAGCUGAAAGCUUUCCGGAUGCUAAAGAUAAUUUGAAUAUAGUUUUUCUUAUUGGUACUGCAUAUUUUUUUGGUUUUUGGUGUGUUGAGGGGGGUGUUUGGCGGUGAGGGUUGAUCGCUUUAUUUUUCCUGGGUUGUGAAAGUCAAGAGUACUUGAACUAUGGUGAUGAUCAAAAAGGAAUAGAUUAUCAUGGUAAAUAAUGAAAUCUUGUUCCACUAUAAAUGAAAAGGGAGAUACAAAGAGAAUCAAUAAUUCAAUAAUCCAUAGUACGAUCUAUCUUCACUUAUCGCUGAUCUAACGGACUCCCCCUGUGCAAAGCUAUUAUUCUUAAAAAAGAAAAAAUUAAGAUAAUGAAAUAUAUCCCAUGUUGUUAUCCUUUUUUUUACCCUCCCUUCACCCUAAUCCAGGGGCCAGCGAAUCAUCAACAACGCCAACGGCAAAAACAGAUGCCCAAUGACAGUCAUAUGCGUUUGCGUUGCACCAGAAAUAGACAAGUAACCAGUGGAGGAGCUCUCCGGCGCCGUCGGUGGCUGUCCGCUGCCUCUGCUUGAACUCGUGUUACUACUCACGGCAUCAGUUGAGGAGAUUCCUACUGAAUACGCUGGCGUUCCGUCGGGCUUAAAUAGACCGUAGUUUCUCUCAGAUGUAGGUCCAGGCUUCAUGUUCUCGUUAAAUAAAGCGAAAACAUAGAUGUUCAAGUCCGUGGUUGGCCUCAUUGGAGUCCCCUUCUUUUGAGAAAUUAGCUUUAUCAGGUUUCCAUUGUAUUUCUUCGCAUUGUCCAGCGUAGCCCCUGCCUCGUCCGCAUCUCCUUUGGAUGGCCAGCCGGUUUCCGAUAUGUGAAUCGGUAGCUUCUUGUAACCUAAGGAUGAUAAAGCAGAGUAAACGGCGUCGAUCUGAGCGAACAGCAUGUUAUCGUAGUGGAGAUUCGAGGCUGGAUCUACAAUGCCUUGGUUGGGCUGGAAAAGAACGAAAUCUAAACUCACUUGCUUCGGAUUCCCCUUGUAUGCGAAGUAAGGGUAAGCGUUGAUCAAGAAAGGAGAGCCAGUUUUCGCGUGGAAAUUUAAGAUAGGAGUCACACAACCGACCAGAUCUCGCCGGAAAGCUCCGGCCGAUGGAGGAUAAGAGGUCUCGAGAAUGGCUAGAGAGUGAGCCGUGGUCACACUCACCUGCUUGUCUAGUCCAAGAUUCACAAGCGCAGUGUGGACACUUUGCAUUGCAGGAAGGAGGUCAUCGCUGAGAGAGGUGUCGUUGAAAGUUAACACUUCGUUGCCUGCUGUUAUGCAGGUAAUCUUGGUUGCUGGUAAGUAGGCUUGAACAUUGGAUUUGACCCAGGCUUGAGCUUUAUCAGGAUCUCUCAUCUUUGAUAAAUACUCGUUUCCAAGUCCUACGAUGAAUUCCACUCCAGUAUUGGCAAAUGCUCGAAGCACCCUUGGAUCUGCAUCAUAGAGCUUUACUUUAGUGGCACCAAUUGAUUUAACCAGAGGCACUACAUUAUCCGGUGAGGGAAGAUUGUUGGCUAUCUGGCCAUAAUUGAUCCCAAUUGAAUCCACCAUUACAGGAAACAUAAAACCUGAAAUUGAAAGAAUCAAUGAAGCACAGUAAUAUAAUAUUGUGCACUGCAACUCCAUUGUUUUAGUAGAAACUUUGAAACUUGUUGUGAGCUGAAGGGAGAGAGUAUGAAGUAGUGAAUGUAAUGAGAGUUACAGGUUUCUUACUCUCAAUAGUGUUUGUCAAUGUCACAAGCAAACAAACUUUGCAAGCAAUGGAUGGGUCAGAGUUCAGAAAGAGAGUAGAGAGGGUAAGAAAAGUGGGAGAUGGGUUUAUAUAUAUGGAGACGGCGUUUAAAGCCUUAAUGAUACUGUUUACAGGAGAGGUCACUUUUGUGGGUUUUUAAGGGCAAAACAAAGCAGACUGAUUUUGAUGGAUCGUUCAUUUGAUGCUUCGCUAGUUUUUGUGGGGACCGCCAGUCUUCUCCGACGCCAUUCACAUGAUCACCAUUCCCAGUUGAGGAGCUUUUUCCUUUUUUUUUGACAAA